UACGGGGGGGGCAAGCGUUGUUCGGAAUUACUGGGCGUAAAGGGCUCGUAGGCGGCCAACUAAGUCAGACGUGAAAGCCCCGGGCUUAACCUGGGAACUGCGUUUGAUACGGAUGGGCUAGAGUUCGGGAGAGGAGAGUGGAAUUCCCAGUGUAGAGGUGAAAUUCGUAGAUAUUGGGAAGAACACCGGUGGCGAAGGCGGCUCUCUGGACCGAGACUGACGCUGAGGCGCGAAAGCGUGGGGAGCAAACAGG
rnacentral:rRNA from 1 species